UACGUAGGGUGCAAGCGUUAAUCGGAAUACUGGGCGUAAAGCGUGCGCAGGCGGUUGUGCAAGACAGAUGUGAAAUCCCCGGGCUCAACCUGGGAAUUGCAUUUGUGACUGCACGGCUAGAGUGUGUCAGAGGGGGUAGAAUUCCACGUGUAGCAGUGAAAUGCGUAGAGAUGUGGAGGAAUACCGAUGGCGAAGGCAGCCCCCUGGGAUAACACUGACGCUCAUGCACGAAAGCGUGGGGAGCAAACAGG
rnacentral:rRNA from 1 species